AACAAUAACCUAGAAAUAGACGAACUUAUUAACCAAUUAAAAAGAAUUGAACUAACUCCUAAACAAGAACGAAAAAAUAUAAUACGAAAACCACAAAAAUGGACUUUCUAUCAAAUAGACGGAGAGCCAUCGAAAAUAAUACAGGACAAGGAGAAGAAAGACAAAGAAUAAGUUUUUCAGAAAAUAGAAUAGGAAAUAAUAAUAUAUUAGCAAGAAUAUGCAG
rnacentral:lncRNA from 1 species